GACGAACGCUGGCGGCGUGCUUAACACAUGCAAGUCGAACGGAAAGGCCCUGCUUUUGUGUGGUGCUCGAGUGGCGAACGGGUGAGUAACACGUGAGUAACCUGCCCUUGACUUUGGGAUAACUUCAGGAAACAGGGGCUAAUACCCGAUAGGAGCUCCUGCUGCACGGGGGGGAUUGGAAAGUUUCGGCGGUUGGGGAUGGACUCGCUGCUUAUCAGCUUGUUUGGGGGGUAGUGGCUGACCAAGGCUUUGACGGGUAGGCGGCCUGGGAGGGUGACCGGCGACCUUGCGCCUGAGGUAGGGAGCAGAAGCGUAUGUGAGGCAGCAGGGGGGAAUAUUGCAGAACGGCGGGACGUCUGAUGCAGAAACGCUGCGUGCGGGAUGAUGUCUUUCGGGUUGUAAACCGAUGUCGAAUGUGACGAAGAGUGAGUGACGGUAAUGGGUAAAGAAGCAACGGCUAACUACGUG
rnacentral:rRNA from 1 species